UAAAAUUUUCCAUGGCAGACUGCUCAGUAACACAUGAUCAACUUGCCCUAUGGAGAAAAAUAACCUCGGGAAACUGAGGAUAAUGUUUCAUAGUUGAAAAGGCUUGGAAAAGUUUUUCAAUGAAAGGGUUAAAAUAAAUGGUUUUUAAUUGCCAUAGGAUAGGAUCGUGCUCGAUUAUGGUAGUUGGUGAGGUAAUGGCUCACCAAGCCGAUAAUCGAUAGGGGCCGUGAGAGCGGGAGCCCCGAGAUGGGUACUGAGACAACGACCCAGACCUUACGAGGUGCAGCAGGCGCGAAACCUCCGCAAUACACGAAAGUGUGACGGGGUUACCCAAAGUGUUCAUAUUGAACUGUGGUAGGUGAGUAAUGUCCCCUACUAGAAAGGAGAGGGCAAGGCUGGUGCCAGCCGCCGCGGUAAAACCAGCUCUUCAAGUGGUCGGGAUAAUUAUUGGGCUUAAAGUGUCCGUAGCCGGUUUAGUAAGUUCCUGGUAAAAUCGGGUAGCUUAACUAUCCGUAUGCUAGGAAUACUGCUAAUACUAGAGGGCGGGAGAGGUCUGAGGUACUACUGGGGUAGGGGUGAAAUCUUAUAAUCCUAGUAGGACCACCAGUGGCGAAGGCGUCAGACUGGAACGCGCCUGACGGUGAGGGACGAAAGCCAGGGGAGCGAACCGGAUUAGAUACCCGGGUAGUCCUGGCCGUAAACGAUGCAUACUAGGUGAUGGCACGGCCAUGAGCCGUGUCAGUGCCGUAGGGAGACCGUUAAGUGUGCCGCCUGGGAAGUACGGUCGCAAGGCUAAAACUUAAAGGAAUUGGCGGGGGAGCACCACAAGGGGUGAAGCCUGCGGUUUAAUUGGAUUCAACGCCGGA
rnacentral:rRNA from 1 species